rnacentral:rRNA from 1 species
UCCGUAGGUGAACCUGCGGAAGGAUCAUUCUAGUUGCUUUGCCGGAACAAAGUACCAUGCGUUGUAAGACAUGAGAUAACCAUCGGAUAUUGUAAUUAAUGAUUUACAGUUAUUAUCAACGGAUACCUUGGCUCUCUCAACGAUGAAGAACGUCGCGAAAUGCGAUAUUUUGUGUGAAUUGCAGAAUUCAGUGAAUCAUCAAAUCUUUGAACGUAAGUUACACUUUGAGGUAUUCCUUAAAGUAUGUCUUUUUCAGUGUCUACUAUAUACUUUUGCUAUGCAAGUCCGAGUGUGUGUCUUGUAAAGAAUUCAUCUUUGUAAUUCUUGUACUAAGUGUUGUUUAACAAAGAGCACAAGUUGAUUACAUAAUUUGUAUUGACCUGAAAUAAGAUAAGAUUACCCGCUGAAUUUAAGCAUAUUAAUAAGCGGAGGAAAAGAAACUAACAAGGAUUCCUUUAGUAACGGCGAGUGAACAAGGAAGAGCUCAAACUGAAAAUCUUGCAUUUAUGUAAGAAUUGUGGUUUAUAGAAGUUUGAUCAGUGAUCAGCACCGGUCUAAGUAUACUGGAAAGUUUCAGCAUAGAGGGUGAUACUCCCAUAUUUGGCUGGAAGUCUGUCACGUACGAUCUACUUUCUACGAGUCGGGUUGCUUGGGAAUGCAGCCUUAAUUGGGUGGUAAAUUCCAUCUAAAGCUAGAUAUAUGAGAGAGACCAAUAGCACACAAGUACCGUGAGGGAAAGGUGAAAAGAACUUUGAAAAGAGAGUUAAACAGUACGUGAAAUUGCUAAAAGGGAAACGCUUGAAGU